rnacentral:rRNA from 1 species
GCCUGGGAUUUUCACUCUCCCAUAAUCCUGUUCUUUAAAAUUACGUUUACUCUAGGAAGCUAAGCAGGGUCAGACCUGGUUAGUACUUGGAUGGGAGACCACCUAGGAAGACCAGGUGCUGUAGGCG